CCUCAGUAUCCUAUUAAUAUUUGAAUUCAAAUUCUCUCCAAUAUUCCAUCAACUUUUGAACCCCUGUACAAACAAAAUAUUGUUAUUUGAUAUUUAAAUUUUAAAAUCGAGAAGCUUUCAUCUUACCACUAUGAUGUUAGAGGAAAAGGUAGAGAGAGAAAAAAGUAACAGGCCCAUAAGUGGAUUGGUUUGUGAUGACUUCAUUAGGAUCGAGAUGGUACAAAGAGGAAGGAAGGUAGAGAAGAGGCCCAUUGGCCAUCCAACACCAGAAAAGGGAAGAAAGAGAAGGGAGAAGCUACUUUUCUACCUCGGGACCGAAGGGGGAUGAAAAAAGAAAGAGAAACAAACAUCCUCAAAGCCGGAGGGAGAGAGAGAGAGGGAAACUAUAUCGGAGGAGAUAAAUCUGGCCCAUAGUUGCUAGGGUUUUGGAAGUGCAAGAAAGGCUCAGGUUGAUCUCCUAAUGCUGAAAAUUUUAGGCCAUGGAGGCACUUGAUCCGAUUCACGUUGUACAGAGAACUCGAGAUCCAGGGCCCAUCUGUUCCAGCAGUCUUCAUCAAAGAUGAUGGGUCAAGUGUUGCUCAGGACCAAGGCUGCGAGGAAGGGUCCAUGUCUGUUGGCUCCAGUCUGGCCCAAAGAACGAGGAGUACGUCUUUCUUCUUCUUCUUCUUCUUCUUCUUCUUUCCCCCCUCUAAAUUGGUCACACAUACAGACUUGUAGAUUGUAAGCAAAAGCUUUUAUCGAUUACCCUCUUUUUCAUUUUAAUAAGAUCUCACUAGCUUUCUUU